CUUGUAGCUCAGAUGGUUAGAGCGUACGCCUGAUAAGCGUAAGGUCGUUGGUUCAAUUCCAACCAAG
rnacentral:tRNA from 1 species